rnacentral:rRNA from 1 species
UAAGGGCGCACGGUGGAUGCCUUGGCACUAGAAGCCGAUGAAGGACGUUACUAACGACGAUAUGCUUUGGGGAGCUGUAAGUAAGCUUUGAUCCAGAGAUUUCCGAAUGGGGAAACCCAGCAUGAGUUAUGUCAUGUUAUCGAUAUGUGAAUACAUAGCAUAUCAGAAGGCACACCCGGAGAACUGAAACAUCUUAGUACCCGGAGGAAGAGAAAGAAAAUUCGAUUCCCUUAGUAGCGGCGAGCGAAACGGGAAGAGCCCAAACCAACAAGCUUGCUUGUUGGGGUUGUAGGACACUCUAUACGGAGUUACAAAGGACGACAUUAGACGAAUCAUCUGGAAAGAUGAAUCAAAGAAGGUAAUAAUCCUGUAGUCGAAAAUGUUGUCUCUCUUGAGUGGAUCCUGAGUACGACGGAGCACGUGAAAUUCCGUCGGAAUCUGGGAGGACCAUCUCCUAAGGCUAAAUACUCUCUAGUGACCGAUAGUGAACCAGUACCGUGAGGGAAAGGUGAAAAGCACCCCGGAAGGGGAGUGAAAUAGAACCUGAAACCGUGUGCUUACAAGUAGUCAGAGCCCGUUAAUGGGUGAUGGCGUGCCUUUUGUAGAAUGAACCGGCGAGUUACGAUUUGAUGCAAGGUUAAGCAGUAAAUGUGGAGCCGUAGCGAAAGCGAGUCUGAAUAGGGCGUUUAGUAUUUGGUCGUAGACCCGAAACCAGGUGAUCUACCCUUGGUCAGGUUGAAGUUCAGGUAACACUGAAUGGAGGACCGAACCGACUUACGUUGAAAAGUGAGCGGAUGAACUGAGGGUAGCGGAGAAAUUCCAAUCGAACCUGGAGAUAGCUGGUUCUCUCCGAAAUAGCUUUAGGGCUAGCCUCAAGUGAUGAUUAUUGGAGGUAGAGCACUGUUUGGACGAGGGGCCCCUCUCGGGUUACCGAAUUCAGACAAACUCCGAAUGCCAAUUAAUUUAACUUGGGAGUCAGAACAUGGGUGAUAAGGUCCGUGUUCGAAAGGGAAACAGCCCAGACCACCAGCUAAGGUCCCAAAAUAUAUGUUAAGUGGAAAAGGAUGUGGCGUUGCCCAGACAACUAGGAUGUUGGCUUAGAAGCAGCCAUCAUUUAAAGAGUGCGUAAUAGCUCACUAGUCGAGUGACACUGCGCCGAAAAUGUACCGGGGCUAAACAUAUUACCGAAGCUGUGGAUUGUCCUUUGGACAAUGGUAGGAGAGCGUUCUAAGGGCGUUGAAGCAUGAUCGUAAGGACAUGUGGAGCGCUUAGAAGUGAGAAUGCCGGUGUGAGUAGCGAAAGACGGGUGAGAAUCCCGUCCACCGAUUGACUAAGGUUUCCAGAGGAAGGCUCGUCCGCUCUGGGUUAGUCGGGUCCUAAGCUGAGGCCGACAGGCGUAGGCGAUGUAUAACAGGUUGAUAUUCCUGUACCACCUAUAAUCGUUUUAAUCGAUGGGGGGACGCAGUAGGAUAGGCGAAGCGUGCGAUUGGAUUGCACGUCUAAGCAGUAAGGCUGAGUAUUAGGCAAAUCCGGUACUCAUUAAGGCUGAGCUGUGAUGGGGAG